CAGUCGACGAACUCUGGUAUUGAUUGGUGCUUGCAUCAUGAUUUACAUUUGAGUGAGUGGCGAACUGGUGAGUAACACGUGGGAAACCUGCCCAGAAGCGGGGGAUAACACCUGGAAACAGAUGCUAAUACCGCAUAACAACUUGGACCGCAUGGUCCGAGCUUGAAAGAUGGCUUCGGCUAUCACUUUUGGAUGGUCCCGCGGCGUAUUAGCUAGAUGGUGGGGUAACGGCUCACCAUGGCAAUGAUACGUAGCCGACCUGAGAGGGUAAUCGGCCACAUUGGGACUGAGACACGGCCCAAACUCCUACGGGAGGCAGCAGUAGGGAAUCUUCCACAAUGGACGAAAGUCUGAUGGAGCAACGCCGCGUGAGUGAAGAAGGGUUUCGGCUCGUAAAACUCUGUUGUUAAAGAAGAACAUAUCUGAGAGUAACUGUUCAGGUAUUGACGGUAUUUAACCAGAAAGCCACGGCUAACUACGUGCCAGCAGCCGCGGUAAUACGUAGGUGGCAAGCGUUGUCCGGAUUUAUUGGGCGUAAAGCGAGCGCAGGCGGUUUUUUAAGUCUGAUGUGAAAGCCUUCGGCUCAACCGAAGAAGUGCAUC
rnacentral:rRNA from 1 species